rnacentral:rRNA from 1 species
UACGAAGGGGGCGAGCGUUGUUCGGAUUUACUGGGCGUAAAGGGCGCGCAGGCGGCGAGUUUUGUCAGGCGUGAAAGCCCCGGGCUCAACCUGGGAAUUGCGCUUGAAACGGGCUUGCUAGAGAUCGGGAGAGGAGAGUGGAAUUCCCAGUGUAGAGGUGGAAAUUCGUAGAUAUUGGGAAGAACACCAGUGGCGAAGGCGGCUCUCUGGACCGAUACUGACGCUGAGGCGCGAAAGCGUGGGGAGCAAAACAGG